rnacentral:rRNA from 1 species
GAUGAACGCUGGCGGCGUGCCUAAUACAUGCAAGUCGAGCGAACAGACGAGGAGCUUGCUCCUCUGACGUUAGCGGCGGACGGGUGAGUAACACGUGGAUAACCUACCUAUAAGACUGGGAUAACUUCGGGAAACCGGAGCUAAUACCGGAUAAUAUAUUGAACCGCAUGGUUCAAUAGUGAAAGACGGUUUUGCUGUCACUUAUAGAUGGAUCCGCGCCGCAUUGGCUAGUUGGUAAGGUAAAGGCUUACCAAGGCAACGAUGCGUAGCCGACCUGAGAGAGUGAUCGGCCACACUGGAACGGAGACACGGUCCAGAGUCCUACGGGAGGCAGCAGUAGGGAAUCGUCCGCAAUGGGCGAAAGCUUGACGGAGCAACGCGGCGUGAGUGAUGAAGGUCUUCGGAUCGUAAAACUCUGUUAUUAGGGAAGAACAAAUGUGUAAGUAACUAUACACGUCUUGACGGUACCUAAUCAGAAAGCCACGGCUAACUACGUG